rnacentral:rRNA from 1 species
UACGUAGGGUGCAAGCGUUGUCCGGAAUUAUUGGGCGUAAAGAGCUCGUAGGCGGUUGUCGCGUCUGCUGUGAAAACCUAGGCUCAACCUUGGGCUUGCAGUGGGUACGGGCAGACUAGAGUGCGGUAGGGGUGACUGGAAUUCCUGGUGUAGCGGUGGAAUGCGCAGAUAUCAGGAGGAACACCAGCGGCGGCAAGGCGGCGCUCUGGGGCCGGGAACUGACGCUGAGGAGCGAAAGCGUGGGUAGCAAACAGG